rnacentral:rRNA from 1 species
AGGACGAACGCUGGCGGCAUGCUUAACACAUGCAAGUCGAACGAGAAUCUGCGGAUCGAGGAUUCGUCCAAGUGAAGCAGAGGACAGUGGCGGACGGGUGAGUAACGCGUGAGGAACCUGCCUUUCAGAGGGGGACAACAGUUGGAAACGACUGCUAAUACCGCAUAACGCGUAGAGGUCGCAUGGCCUUUACGCCAAAGAUUUAUCGCUGAAAGAUGGCCUCGCGUCUGAUUAGCUAGUUGGUGAGGUAACGGCCCACCAAGCCGACGAUCAGUAGCCGACCUGAGAGGGUGAUCGGCCACAUUGGGACUGAGACACGGCCCAAACUCCUACGGGAGGCAGCAGUGGGGAAUAUUGGGCAAUGGGGGAAACCCUGACCCAGCAACGCCGCGUGGAGGAAGAAGGUUUUCGGAUCGUAAACUCCUGUCCUCAGGGAAGAGCAGAAGACGGUACCUGAGGAGGAAGCCCCGGCUAACUACGUG